rnacentral:siRNA from 1 species
GGACUCUUAUCACAAGAUGGA